AAAAUUUUACAUACAACGUUCAGGCUGGGUGCCGCCGCAUCCCGGGAGGGAAUGGAGCCCAGAAGAAGGCCUCGCCUCAGAGAAACAUCACGCUUCUGCACCGCUGUGGCUGCUGCCAAGACCCCCACCCAAAUAAUAUAGGAGCUGACUUUGAUUACCAG